GGUAUCUUGCCAAUUUCUUGAAGACCAGCGCACUCAAGUCUUCGAUCAAUACAUCUUCGCCGUCGUCCGACGCUUCCUUGAUUGCCCAAAAAAUUGGCUGGAAUUGGAGGGUAAAAUGCUAGUGAUUGGCCGCAAUUUCUAGAGUAAACGGGGUCCUGGAGCUGCCUAAGUCUCUAUUUUAGACUCCUAGCAUCACAACGAAGUUGUUCGAUAAAAUGCCAGAAUGAACAAGCUAUUGGUUGGACACUUUGGAAGCCUUGUCCGAGGCUCACUGUCAACAUUUCAUUAUCCAGCAUACCCAAGUGCAGUCACAUAAGAGGGAAGUUUUCUGAUCUCUAAUACUUUUUCUAUGGAAUAAUGGUCAAAUUAUUUUUGGUGUAAUUCCUAUAAGCGUGUGAAUCAAGGAUCAAGCUCCUAUAAGUUAUGCAUCAGUUUCGAGGUGGGAAAGAAGGUUUCUUGCUAGAAAUCCCACGGGGCUGUGUAGCACCGGGGUUUUAUUUUGAUAAUAUUGGUUGCCUGUUUUUGUGAGAUGAUUGGAACAGGGGAAGGAGAACUGUGGAGUUCACGCGUUGUGCGAUGGAAAUUUAGUAUGUAAGCCAAUUGAUUAGAUCGAAUGCGAAAGAGUCGAAUUCACUUCUUAGAGCUCUCGAAGAUCCAGUCACUUGGGGACGGGAAACAUGUUCGUAAAGCUCGCGGUUGUAGCUUAGAGCUCGUUCCAUGUCCUGAAGCUAGAAUGUUGAGGGUUGUAAUUCCCCAGUAGCUCGCGUCGAUAUUAUGGAGCUCACACCCACCUCUCGAAAAUGAAUUCAUGCGAACUCGAGCCUCUCCCAAUCACAUUGUGAGGUGAAUUGAGAUAUUGCAUAAUAUGCUUAUUACUCGAGUGCUUGAUGAGAGUUAGAAUAUGGAUAUUUUUUUUUGUAAGAUUCAACAAGCAUGAUAUAACUCGUGCGAUUUAACUUACAAGCAUGAAAAUCGAUUUAUGAGACUGCUAUUUUCUUUUAAUAUUGUGCCUGUCGAGCUGAGUUCAUAUGAUUUAUGAGACCGUUGGUAAAAGUGGUUCCUCGGCACAUCAUUUUCUCAGAUGUUCAGAGACUACACCCUUUAAAGUUCAAAUUAAUCUUCUAAAUCGCUGUAUAAAUGUGGAAUUUUGUAGACCUUGUUUACUAGCUCUGAGGAUUGGAACUGUUUUACGGAUGGGGAAUCUAGAGCUCGAUUUUAUGGAAUAUGGUAUUAUUAUAUCUAAUAAUGUUCAGCUCGAAGUUUUUGUUAAACCCUUAAUCAUGUGUAUAAGCUCAUCGAGUAAUUAUUGUAUGGUUUCUCAAAUGACUUAAUGCAAAUUAUUUAUGAUACUACUGUUUGGAAAGUUUAUCUAUUAGCUAGUAUUUCUCUCUAUGAUUUUCUAAUGAUGGGUUCUUGUGAGCUCGAAUUAAUAGACGUGGGUUUUGAAUUUUCCAAAAAUUAGAUUUUGAGAAUAUGUGGAUAUAUGUUUACCAAACCAAACCAUUAUGCUCGCUAAUGCUUUCUAAAAUGAAUCUCUUAUUGAUUUUUCAAAUAAUUAUGAUUAUAUAUAACAGCUGGUCAUACUUUGGAUCCUCACUCGAUUUUGUGUGGCGAGUAACUGUUAACUUCUUAAUAAAAGGAUGUUUGAAUUUUCGAAAUGCAUUUCGCUAAAGACGCAAAUUUGUUUGGUCAUUUUGUGCAAGCAUGUUAGCUCAUCACAAUAAGCAAUUAAUUGUAUUCUACUUGAUUUAGCUAUGAUCGAAAUAUGUACACUUAUUAGACAGGGGAAGCAUUUAACUUUGAUGAAUUAUUGAUACAUGUGGGCAUGUCGAUUUGGUAGUGGUGUUUCUAGAUUCUACAGACUAAUAAUAGCGCUCACAUGCUUAUGAUUUAUGAUAGUUUCCGGCUUAUACAUUUGUUGAGCAAGCUUGGAAUCAUUUCUCGAGAUUAGAUUUCCAGAAGUCGCAUGUAUUUCUAAAAUGUCUUGAGUUGAUCUCUUCAACCAGCAUUCAACAUUUUUGGCAGCUCGAGUUUCUUUUGCGAGGUGAAUUCCAAUAUAUUCAUGUGAUAUAUAUUUUAAUAAUUACUUGCACAAUGAGAAUUUCUUUCGGGAUUUUUAACUGUUCAGCAAGUACUUAACUUCAAAAUAUUUUUCAACUAGAUUUGGGAUAAUACAUAACAUGCUCAUUAUUAAUGUGUUUUGAAAAGAAUUUAGAUGAGCCUCUCCGGCCUCUAUAUGCAUGAUCAGUAUAUGUGUGCUUUAUGUGAUUAUAUGUUUUCUGAGCAUUGUUCAUAAUUGAGCAGGGGAUUGAGGUUGAAUUUUAUAAUGGUAUCGGAAGGGAGUUUCUUGAAUUACGAGCGUCAAA